rnacentral:rRNA from 1 species
GAUGAACGCUAGCGGCAGGCCUAAUACAUGCAAGUCGGACGGUAUUGAGGAGCUUGCUUCUCAUGAGAGUGGCGCACGGGUGCGUAACACGUAUGUAACCUACCUUGUUCAGGGGGAUAGCCUCUCGAAAGAGAGAUUAAGACCGCAUAACGUAGUGAUGUGGCAUCAUAUUACUACCAAAUAUUUAUAGGAACAAGAUGGGCAUGCGGAACAUUAGCUAGUUGGUAAGGUAACGGCUUACCAAGGCUACGAUGUUUAGGGGAUCUGAGAGGAUUACCCCCCACACUGGUACUGAGACACGGACCAGACUCCUACGGGAGGCAGCAGUAAGGAAUAUUGGUCAAUGGACGGAAGUCUGAACCAGCCAUGCCGCGUGCAGGAAGACGGCCCUACGGGUUGUAAACUGCUUUUAUACGGGAAUAAACCUACUUACGUGUAAGUAGCUGAAUGUACUGUAAGAAUAAGGAUCGGCUAACUCCGUGCCAGCCGCCGCAGUAAAAC